AUGAUUUAUAUCAGUAAGAGCCCUGAGAGAUGAUCAGGUUGAUAGGUUAGAAGUGGAAGUGUGGUGACACAUGUAGCGGACUAAUACUAAUAGCUCGAGGACUUAUCCAA
rnacentral:rRNA from 1 species